GACCUGACGUCACGAAAAGACCCGAAGUUGAAGUCCUGAAGCCUCGAAAGGACCCAAAGCCAGGUUCUAUACAUUUACGCUCGAUUGAGGAUCCGGCUCACAGAUGGUUACAUGCCUCUUGCAGAGUUCGGCUAGUGUGUGGCAGUAUCCGGUGAAAUAAGAAACGAAUAUGCAAAUAAGAAGCAGAAGAAAAGAGAAGGAUAUAGCAGAAGGGAUAGAAGAGAGA